GCCUGGGUCCCCCUCUUUAGACCUCCUGGGGAGAACCCCAGCCGUCCUCAGGAGCCCAGGUCCCCCACGCGGCCUGGCAUGCUGCUACAGGGGGUCCCGCUUCAGAGCGGGUGCCGGGGGACGGGGUUGGCUCCGGGUGGCCGCCGCUUCCAAACACGCCGGUUCAUUCACAAAUCCCCGCGCCCACGCCCACAGGUGUCUCCCUGCAGCACUCCGCCGGCUUCCUUCCUGCAGCGGCGGCGCACACGCACGCCCACGGCUUCCCCUUCCUGCAGACGCGCGCCCACGCAGCCGGGCCGGGACGGGAGCAGCUUUUGCCUUCCGCACGGAGUUCUUAUCCUCAGGUGGGCGGGUGGGGGCUGAGCACAGGCUAUUUCCCAGUCGGGAAGCAACUUCCUUUGGUAGAUCCUGGGACUUGCCAGGCAAUUCCAGAGAGGCAGGAAGUUGGAAGGGGAAAAGGUGGGGGGCUGGGGAAUGAGGGAGGGGGCCCGACCCCGGGUGAACUUUGGUGCACCUUGGUGCACCUUGCCACUCAGCCGGCCGCUGGCACCAGGGCCUGGAGAGGCCUCGCUGAAUUAGCUUUUCCAGGUGCUUUACAAACAUGCUUUCUAUGUCGGGAAGCAGUCGGUCAAUGUUCAUUUCUACCAUCUUUGCAUUCUGUUUCCUGAGUGUGAUCGAGUAAAUUGCCGUACACGAUAGAUAACGCCUACCAUCGAGUUGUUAGGCGUCUGCCCUCGCCGGGCGCCACACAAAAAGCUCCAGGUGCCGCAUGAGUUUCAGUCUGCAGAGCCCUAUGGGUAAAUGUUGGUACAGCCCCACCUUACAGAUCGGGGCACCAAGACUCCAGUGUGCCCAGGGUCACACACCGGACAGAAAUGAAGCUUUGAGCUCAGGUCUGCUGAUAAUUCAGCCCCGACCUCAACCACCGAGGCGUAAUGAAUGCAUUGUGCUCUAGAAAUUCCCGUUGGAUUUAAAAAAAAAAAAAAAAAAUCUCGAUUUCUUCUGCUGGAGCCCUUCGAUUCUCUAAGGUGGCUUCGAAAUAACUCAGCAGUCCUUGGAGAGAAUGGAGUGGUCUCAUCUGUAUGUGUUAACACUUUGUUGUUCAGAGUCUUAAAAUCCGCCAGAUGUGAGCUUCCCACAGCUAGAAACGUAGUGGAUUCAUCCUUCCAUCCCAGCCUUCUACAGAGAGGAGGUGCCCAGGUAAUGUUGAAAGGAAAUUAAAACAAAAUCAGAUUCAGGGUUUUGCUCUAGAUGUGUCCCCAGAUGAGCUCAUAAGGGAUCAGCAGCAACAAAAAUAACACGGAGUGAAUACUCAGUCCUGCAGGGGCCGAGUGGGCUCUCGGCUCUCCCAGCUCCGCAGCCGCUCCCGCCAAAGUCGCAGAGCCCCCGAGCCGGCGAGGCAGGCCGCAGGCAAAGCCCGGGCCCAGAGCUGCUGAGCCACCCCUUCCAGAUUCCGGGCACCCAUCUGUGCCUGGAGCCCGUGCCGCUCGUGAGCCCGCGUCCCGCACGAACACACCUGUGCUUUUCACACACCCGGAUGGAGAGAUCGCCCCGUGCACACUUGCAAAGGGGCAGGACGUGCAUGCAGCCUGUGCAGUCCGGACGUGAGCCUGUGUCUGAGCCGAUGCACACGCUCUCUUCUCUCUCACUCGCUGAGCAGGGCUGGCGUGAGCAUCCGGGAUGACACGUGUGUUAUACAACGCUGCGCGGAGCCCGGCUCCCAGCGGGCGCUGGGGAAAGGCGGUUGAUCCCAGCCACUUUCUUGCACAUUUCUUGCACCGCUGCUGGCUCCCCCUGUGAAACAGAAACGCAACCCACGAGCCUGGGGUCCACCAGGAGGUUCUCUCUUCUUAAACCCAUUCUGCUCAAGUCUCGGCUUUUUGCAAUUUCCCAAAGAUGGCUCCCGCCCCCGCCCCAGGUUUGAGGAAGCAGAGCUGGAGCGCGGUUGCUGAGAGCCACACUGAGGCCAGAGAGAGGCCGGCGACCUGAACAGACACGUGCCGACGCCUUCCAGCGUGACCCCGGCGUCCAGACUUGGGAACAAUCCUAAACCGUUUCCAGGCUGUUGCUUUCAGAACCUAAGUCUCCAGGCCGCCAUGGGGCCAGGUGGAGGCAGCACGGGCAGCCAGCAACUGGCAUGUCCAGGUCUCGGCUCGCAGGCCAGCUCCCCAGAGAGCCCCCCCCUGGCCGGCACCGCCUCCAGCAGCCCUGCUGGUUGGUCUGCGUCCUGACCCCGUGCAAGUGGGGCCCGCGUGUCUGGGAGAGCUGUGUCCCUGUGCUGAGGACCGGCUUGCCCACCACCACGCACGGGUGCAGCAGGGGACCCAGGCGUGGAGCCUCCCGCACCCCAACCAAUGCCACACGAGGUGCGUGGUGGGGCGUGGUGAGACAGGGACAGGUCCGCAGCCCUGACAGCCCCUGCGCCUUCCGCUCCCCGGGAAGCGGGGCUCGGGGGAGGCUGGGCGGGGAGGAGGGCCCCGCUCCGCUCCCCCCUCAUGGGGGAGACAGCUGCUGCACAGGGGUCACCCCCUGGCCAAGCCUCCGCCGCUGCUGCACUCGGGGCAAAGUGGGACUGGAACCCAGACAGUCUGGGGCCGGGGAGGAGGAAGUUAAGGCAGACUCUAGCCCCAGAAGCACAUCUCGUCGGCUUGACGGGGGGGGGGGUCCCAAAUGUUUCGAAGCAGGAGAAUGGCUGGAGUCAUUGUUUAAAAGCCGUUCCUCAGCCGGCUGGCCGGUGCCCACAGUCACCCCCCCAGCCCGGCUGGUGCCCACAGUCACCCCCCCAGCCCAGCCAGUGCCCA